rnacentral:rRNA from 1 species
AGGCUCGUCAAUCGAAAUGAGUACAAUUUAAAUCCUUUAACGAGUACCAAUUGGAGGGCAAGUCUGGUGCCAGCAGCCGCGGUAAUUCCAGCUCCAAUAGCGAAUAUUAAAUUUGUUGCAGUUAAAAAGCUCGUAGUUGGAUCCAAGGUUAGGCAUGCCUGUCUGUUCUUAGUAGCAUGACUGUGUGUGUCUGCCUUUAUUAGUUGAAUGUUCAUUAUGGUGGUCUUCAUCGACUGCUAUGAUGUGCUCAACACGUUUACCUUGAAAAAAUCAGAGCGAUCAAGGCAGGCCUUCGUGCUUGUAUGUUGUUGCAAGGAAUAAUAGAAUAGGACUUCGGUUCUAUUUUGUUGGUUUUGAGAAUUGAAGUAAUGAACAAUAGAGACAGUCGGGGGCAUUUGUAUGGUGGCGUUAGAGGUGAAAUUCUGAGAUCGUCGCCAGACAAACUACUGCGAAAGCAUUUGCCAAGGAUGUCUUCAUUAAUCAAGAACGAAAGUCAGAGGUUCGAAGACGAUCAGAUACCGUCCUAGUUCUGACCAUAAACGAUGCCGACCUACAAUCGGGGGUGGUUUAUUACAUUGACCCUCCCGGCUGUCCUCAGGAAACUUUAAGUUGGUUCUGGGGGGAAUAUGGUCUCAAGACUGAAACUUAAAGGAAUUGACGGAAGGGCACCACCAGGAGUGGAGCCUGCGGCUUAAUUUGACCCAACACGGGGAAUCUCACCCGGUCCGGACACUGGUAGGAUGGACAGAUUGAUAGCUCUUUCUUGAUUCAGUGGGUGGUGGUGCAUGGCCGUUCUUAGUUGGUGGAGUGAUUUGUCUGGUUAAUUCCGAUAACGAACGAGACUCUGUCCUGCUAAAUAGUCCAGUGGCAUCAAUCACUAUGUGAUUACAGCUGCUGUUACUUCUUAGAGGGAUUCGCGGAUUUAAACCGCAAGAAAUAGAGCAAUAACAGGUCUGUGAUGCCCUUAGAUGUCCGGGGCCGCACGCGCGCUACAUUGACAGUAGAAGCGAGUAUUUCUACCUGGUUCGAAAGAAUUGGGAAAUCUUCGAAUUACUGUCUCCACAGGGAUUGAGGUUUGCAAUUUUGCCUCAUGAACGAGGAAUUCCCAGUAGGCGCAAGUCAUCAGCUUGCGUCGAUUACGUCCCUGCCCUUUGUACACACCGCCCGUCGCUACUACCGAUUGAGUGCAUUAGUGAGGACCUCGGAUUGAGAACAUAGUGGCGCAAGUUACUUUGUUUUCGAAAAGUGUUCAAAUUUGUGCAUUUAGAGAUAGUAAAAGUCGU